GUGUAAAUUCAGUUUUCAUUUCUUUUCAGAUUAAAACUUAACCCCUAUCAGGUUCAAGAAUGAAAUUCAUCUAUAUCAUCACUUCUUGUAUCUGUUUGCUGGCUUAUUUCUCGCCACCUGUCGACAGUUUUGGAUGCAGUGCUGCAAUGUGUCCCAUAUUUCCAAUAUUUAGUUCGAUCUGUUGCGUAAUGGCGCAUCAAUGUUGCCAUUUAGCCUUGCAGAGGGUUAAAGGACCUUUAGUUGAGUGUGAUAAGGAGGAUGAUAAAGCUACUGCCACAACAGGAAAUGAAAUCGUAUCUGCGCCAAGAAGAUCUAGUGUAUACUUUUUGCCUCCUUUUCCACGUUAUCGUUGAAUCAAUCCGCUGCAUCCGAAUUGAGGUCAUGAUGUAUACUUUGCUAAAGACGCUCAGGAAAAUGUAACCUUUAAAGAUGUCUGGAAAUUAAUCUGAAGUCAUUUUCAAGCAAUAAUUCAUUUUCACCAUUUAUUAAACUGAUUAUGAAUACGUUUCGUUAUUUCUAGAAUUUCCAAGUCGUUAAAAAAUAUAUAACAGUUGUAAAAAUUUAAUUCGUGAUUUUUUUUCUCUUUACUAUUUUACUUAACAUGAAAAGAAUAUUUGAUGAGCAAAAUCUCUCUUUACUAAUAAAUUUUAUUAUCUUUGUUUUUACUACUCUUUUAAAGUAUAAUUCUAAACAUUUCUUUUAUUCUGUGCCAUUUGUAAAUGAAAAUUUCUCACCUUCUGAUUUAUUACCUGUCAUUCGUCAAAAUAUAUUUUUUAACCCUUGAUUUGUCUUUUAUCAUUUUUAAUUGCAUAUUUUUCAAUUUCUAUUUUAUUCAUUGAAAAUUGUAAAUGCUUUUGAUUCAUUCGCUACUAUUUGUAAAUGCAUAUUUCUUAGUUUCUGGUUUCUUUCUCUGUCAUUUGCAAAUGCAAAUUUCCCUUUUCUGGUUUAUACUCCACCAUUUGUCGAUGUUUUUUUUUCUUAAUUUCUGGUUCCUUUCUCUCUGCCAUUUGCAAAUGCAAAUUUCAGUUUUUUGGUUUAUUCUCUACCAUUUGUAAAUGCAUUCUCUCAGCUUUCGAUUUUUUCUUUGUAAGUGUAGAUGCAAAUUUCUCAACAUUUGGUUUAUUCUCUGCAAGUUGUCAAUGUAAAUUUCUCGUUUCUGGUUUACUCUGCGCUAUUUGCAUUUGCUAAUUUCUUAACUUUUAACUACUCUGUUACAAAUGUAUCUUUUUCUGAAUUUUGCUCAGUUUGUGUAAUUUAUAUAUGCAUAAGAAUUUGAAUUCUGUUUAUUCUUUUUAAUAGGUGUGUCAUUCAUUUAUUUUAUGCUGUUUUCAUCACAUAUUUCUUUGCUAUAUAGUUUGAUAAUUAAACUGUUUUAUUGUAAACUAGCAAACAUCUUCCUUUUGCAAAUAAAAGCUAUGUUAAAAUUUACAAAAAGCUUUCAGUUUUUUGUAAUGAAACUUUUUAAACUAUAAUAAAUAAAAA